AUGAGCACAACCACGACGGAGGCGAUUAGCAAUAGGUUGACCACCGGCCUGCACCGCCUCUCACCGGCGCCCGGCCUCUUCUUGUUCUUCUUCCGCGGCGUCAUGGAGCACUGGUCCGGAGCCUCCUCCGCCUCCAGCAAGUCGCGCGCCGAGGAGGAGCGCGGGAAGCAGCACGUGCGCACCGAGGAGGAGCGCGGGAUGCGGCCGCUGUCGGAGCUUGCGGGCGUGCUGGGCAUGCGGUCAUGCGCGCGCCGAGGCCGCCCCCGCCUUGCCCGCACGCCCCGCCUCGCUACCUCCGCCCGGCCACGCCCAGGCCUUGCCCGCUCGCCCCGCCUCGCCAGCUCCGGCCAGCGCCCGCCCCGGCCUCGCCCGUCCCCACCACGCACCGGCCGCCGGCGAGGGCACCAUGGAGUGUGCGGACGCCAACGUCGAUGGUCCAAGCCGCCGCAGUGCCCGCGCUCGUGCUCGCCGUGGCGGCCGCGCCCAUGGCCGCGGGGGAGCAGAGGAGCCACUUCCGCUGACCAUGCACUCUGCUCCUUCUCGCUGCUACUGCGCCAUGCUCGCCCCCGCUGCUACUGCCCCCCUGCUGACGCCGCUAGCUGCCAUCGCCGUCGUGCCCGCCUCCAGCCGCAGCUCUCCCCUGCUGCUCCCCCGUGCUGCCCGAGCCCGCUGCCGAUCGGUGUUGUCGAUCCUGAACCAGAGGCGGCGGAGCAGAGGAGACACAACUUCACCGGCGGGGCGGGGCGGGGCGGAGGAGGAGAGGCGGCGAGGGAAGCGGAGCGGGGCAGAGGAGGCGGGGCGGGGCUGGGAGGAAGGAAGGCAGUGGGGCGGCGCGGGCGGCAGCCAGCCAAGCGGACUUCUCCAUGGACGACUCUGGAGAGGAGAGAGGAAAACAGAGGAUAG
rnacentral:rRNA from 1 species